rnacentral:lncRNA from 1 species
GAAAAUGCUAAUUUACACGAUGUCUAGGCCAAGUAUCUGUAAAUAGUAGAAGUCAGAUUUAGAAAUAUAUUUUUUAACUCUAAAAAGGAAUUUUUAUGCAAAAGUUGUAAGUUUGAAAAAAACCAAAAAAAGUUUUCUAUUUAUUUUCCAAACCAAUUGGAGAUAGCAAGAAUGGAUAUGAAACGGCGACAAGUGGAUACUGUUUCUAGUAACUUUUGUGAAUAUGAUAAUGAUUGAGUUUCUAAUCUUUUCUCCACAUUUUCAUUUUAUAAUGUCCUAACAAUUUAGGAGUUGUGUUUAUUUGUUCUGUCAUAUGCUUAUUUUAUUUUUGUUGUCUUUAUAAUAUAUAUGCAGUAUUUGAAAAUUAGCGUUAUUUGAAAGUUAGUGUUACAUAGUUUAAUAAGUUGUUUUACUUAUUUGAAAAUUUAUGAAAUAGUUUUGUUGUAUACAAGGGAAUAAAUACUAAGAUAUUGUGGAGAAGUUAAGUGUAACAGUUGCUCAAGUUGGUGAGUUAUUGACAAGUUGCUGCCUAAAUAUUCAGUUUGACACCAAAAUUUUGAAAAAGAAUUUUUCUUUCAAUGUCACAAAAAAAUGAAACCCGUAUUGGGUAAUUUAACUGUUGUUUCGGUGGCUGUUAAAUUCGAUUAGACUAAAUACACUAUAUUUUAAAUGUUGAGUUGAUAUAUUGAUCUAAAAUUUAUUUGUUGCUAUUGGGUUGAUAUUGCCGGUAGGUCCCUUUUCGGAAAAAUUAUUUUUCUUUUCAUUUUCAUGUCUAGCGAAGCGGAGUCGACAUUGUAAGAUGCUUGCAUUUGCCCGCAUGUCAUGACAUAGCGGGGUGUGGUACGUUCUAUAAUGUUGGUUCCUACAGACGCGAGGGCAUAUGAGCCGUAUCGUGGAUGUUUGUGUUUACUGGCUCAAUGUUUUUGCAUUGAACGAUUUACAUAUAAUCCUUAUCAUUUUUGAAUGUUGGCUUUGUGUCUUUGGUUCUUGUCCGUAGUUCUUUGACUUAUAAGAUGCUAUUAGAAGUGACUUGUUUUACAUAAAUCCUAUACGAUUGAUUGAUAUUGUGAUGACUCUUUGAAUUUAUACAACUUUGUCGCUUGAGUUAUUUCGUAGGUCAAAAAAAAAUGUGUUGUCCCCUUUUCCUAAACUUUGUGCCUUCUAGUGCUAAGAUUCUAAAAUUGAUGGAUUUGAUGGAUGUUUUGUUUUGGUCCAAUUAUUAUUGGCUAUAUAAGUUUUGAGAUGAUUUAACUUUUGUGCCAAUGACCCUUAAGUCCAAUUGCAACUGGCCAUAUAAAUUUGGAGAUGUUCAAAUGUUGCAUCGAAGACCCUAGUGUCCUAGUGCUAUUCUAAGAUGGUUAUAUGUGGUCUCCAUCACUUAAAUUCAAUUGAUAUAGAAAUAUACAUUAUUUUGACAUGGUUAUGUGUUGCCCCGAUAACGCUUAAGUCCGAUUGUUACCGACUAUAUAUAUUCAGAGAUGGUUAGAUGUUCCUUCGAUGGCCUCUAAGUACGAGAUUUUAUUCGUUGCCUCAAUGACCACUUAAAGUCCAAUAAAAUUUUAGAUGCUUAGAUGUUUUCUUGACAUGUUCAAUAAAUUUUUAUAUGGUUAUAUGUUGGCCCGAUGACCCAAAGGUAAACUGCUAUUGGCUAUGAUAAUUAUCUUAAGAUAGUUAAAUGUUGUCUGGAUGACUUUUAUUGGUUGCAUAAACAUAGAUGGUGAAAUAUUGUCUCGAUGCAGUUUAAUCCACUUGUCAAGGCAAGUUCACUUCCUUUUUGUUGGCAUUUUUGUUUUAUUUCAAUUUUAAAUUUUAUCAUGUACUAAUCUUUGUUUUUUAACAGGUUACGUUGAGACUUAGAACUGACGUGAAAGAGAAAAUUGCAUAAUUAACAUUGAUGUCUUAUGCUCGAAAAAUGUACCAAUUUUUCUCGAUAAUUAAAAUGCACUCAAUCCUCUGCCUAAAAUUCAGUUUGACACCAAAAUCUUGAAAAAUAAUUUUUCUUUCAAUAUGUCACCAAAAAAAAAAAGGUAAACUCGUAUUGGGUAAUUUAAAUAUUGUUUCGGUGACUUUUCAUUCGAUUAGACCAAAUACACUCUAUUUUAAAUGUUGAUGUUAUAUAUUGAUCUAAAAUGUAUUUGUUUCUAUUGGGUUCAUAUUGCCGGUAGGUCCUUUUUCGGUAAAAAUGUUUUUCUUUUCAUUUUCAUGCCUAGCGAAGCGGAGUCGACGUUGUAAGAUGCUUCCAUUUGCCCGCAUGUCAUGGCAUAGCCGGGUGUGGUAUGUUCUACAAUGUUGGUUCCUACAGACGCGAGGGCAUAUGAGCGGUAUCGUGGAUAUUUGUGUUUACUGACUCAAUGUUUUUGCAUUGAACGAUUUACAUAUAAUCCUUAUCAUUUUUGAAUGUUGACUGUCUUUGGUUCUUGUCCGUAGUUCCUCUUUGACUUAGAAGAUGUUAUAGAAGUGACUUGUUUUACAUAAAUCCUAUACGAUUGAUUGAUAUUGUGAUGACUUUUUAAAUUUAUACAACUUUGUCGCUUGAGUUAUUUCGUAGGUCAAAAAAAAUGUGUUGUCCCCUUUUCCUAAACUUUGUGCCUUCUAUUGCUAAGAUUCUAAAAUUGAUGGAUUUGAAGGAUGUUUUGGUCCAAUUGUUAUUGGCUAUAUAAGUUUUGAGAUGAUUUAACUUUUGUGUCGAUGACCCUUAAGUCCAAUUGCAACUGGCCAUAUAAAUNNNNNNNNNNNNNNNNNNNNNNNNNNNNNNNNNNNNNNNNNNNNNNNNNNNNNNNNNNNNNNNNNNNNNNNNNNNNNNNNNNNNNNNNNNNNNNNNNNNNNAAAUGUUGCAUCGAUGACCCUAGUGUCCUAGUGCUAUUCUAAGAUGGUUAUAUGUGGC